rnacentral:lncRNA from 1 species
GUAAAUUCAUUAUGAUGUCAGUACUAUAUGUUAUUGAUUGCAAAUUGGGCACACCACACUUCCCAUCGGUGAAUUGCAGCAGCACAGUUGAGGCUGGGAGGUCACCAGUCUUUCAUCUUUUAAUUAAUAAAUUUGGGUUUUGAUUAUGUUAUAUGCACUGUGUGUGUCCUGGCUGUGCCUCUCCACCAUUCUGUCACCACAGCCCCAGCCUAUCUUCUUACCAUUAGUGCUCUUUGGACUGCUGCCUCCAGCUUCUGGAACCUUUAUAGCAGCCAUGCCCUUAACUGUUACUUUCAAGAGGCUGCUGUAUUGUCUAUGCUGCUCUCUUUGGUAUUUAUGUUGUUUGGUGCCCUAAUUUUAAAGACGAAGGCAUUUGUGUCAUAGCCCUGACAUCAAGGGGCUGUGUAAUUUCUACAGAAAUUAACACUUUUCUUCACAUGGGAACCUGAAUUAAACCUAUAGGAAUGCCAUAUGUUGUUGGCAUUAUAAAUGUAAAGAAGUCAGUUAGGCCUAAAACAAAAAAGGAUUAAAAA